AUUGAACGCUGGCGGCAGGCCUAACACAUGCAAGUCGAACGGUAACAGGAAACAGCUUGCUGUUUCGCUGACGAGUGGCGGACGGGUGAGUAAUGUCUGGGAAACUGCCUGAUGGAGGGGGAUAACUACUGGAAACGGUAGCUAAUACCGCAUAACGUCGCAAGACCAAAGAGGGGGACCUUCGGGCCUCUUGCCAUCGGAUGUGCCCAGAUGGGAUUCGCUAGUAGGUGGGGUAACGGCUCACCUAGGCGACGAUCCCUAGCUGGUCUGAGAGGAUGACCGGCCACACUGGAACUGAGACACGGUCCAGACUCCUACGGGAGGCAGCAGUGGGGAAUAUUGCACAAUGGGCGCAAGCCUGAUGCAGCCAUGCCGCGUGUAUGAAGAAGGCCUUCGGGUUGUAAAGUACUUUCAGCGGGGAUGAAGGGAGUAAAGUUAAUACCUUUGCUCAUUGACGUUACCCGCAGAAGAAGCACCGGCUAACUCCGUG
rnacentral:rRNA from 1 species